AGCUGAUCAUUGGGUGUAAAGUGUGCGCAGGCGGUUUUGUAAGACAGAGGUGAAAUCCCCGGGCUCAACCUGGGAACUGCCUUUGUGACUGCAAGGCUGGAGUGCGGCAGAGGGGGAUGGAAUUCCGCGUGUAGCAGUGAAAUGCGUAGAUAUGCGGAGGAACACCGAUGGCGAAGGCAAUCCCCUGGGCCUGCACUGACGCUCAUGCACGAAAGCGUGGGGAGCAAACA
rnacentral:rRNA from 1 species